rnacentral:rRNA from 1 species
GAUCCUGGCUCAGAUUGAACGCUGGCGGCAGGCUUAACACAUGCAAGUCGAACGGUAACAUAAAGAAGCUUGCUUCUUUGAUGACGAGUGGCGGACGGGUGAGUAAUGCUUGGGAAUCUAGCUUAUGGAGGGGGGAUAACUACGGGAAACUGUAGCUAAUACCGCGUAGAAUCGGAAGAUGAAAGUGUGGGACCGUCGGCCGACA